GACGAACGCUGGCGGCGUGCCUAAUACAUGCAAGUAGAACGCUGAAGAAAGGAGCUUGCUUCUUUUGGAUGAGUUGCGAACGGGUGAGUAACGCGUAGGUAACCUGCCUUGUAGCGGGGGAUAACUAUUGGAAACGAUAGCUAAUACCGCAUAACAGCUUUUGACACAUGUUAGAAGCUUGAAAGAUGCAAUUGCAUCACUACGAGAUGGACCUGCGUUGUAUUAGCGAGUAGGUAGGGUAACGGCCUACCUAGGGGACGAUACAUAGCCGACCUGAGAGGGUGAUCGGCCACACUGGGACUGAGACACGGCCCAGACUCCUACGGGAGGCAGCAGUAGGGAAUCUUCGGCAAUGGGGGCAACCCUGACCGAGCAACGCCGCGUGAGUGAAGAAGGUUUUCGGAUCGUAAAGCUCUGUUGUAAGAGAAGAACGUGUGUGAGAGUGGAAAGUUCACACAGUGACGGUAACUUACCAGAAAGGGACGGCUAACUACGUGCCAGCAGCCGCCGCAG
rnacentral:rRNA from 1 species